AACUGAAUACACCAGUUCUCGUCUGAUCACCGAAGUUAAGUAGCUUCGGGAGCGGUCAGUACUUGGACGGGUGACCACUUAGGAACACCGUGU